rnacentral:rRNA from 1 species
AUACGUAGGUGGCAAGCGUUGUCCGGAAUUAUUGGGCGUAAAGCGCGCGCAGGCGGUUCUUUAAGUCUGAUGUGAAAGCCCCCGGCUCAACCGGGGAGGGUCAUUGGAAACUGGGGAACUUGAGUGCAGAAGAGGAAAGUGGAAUUCCAAGUGUAGCGGUGAAAUGCGUAGAGAUUUGGAGGAACACCAGUGGCGAAGGCGACUUUCUGGUCUGUAACUGACGCUGAGGCGCGAAAGCGUGGGGAGCAAACAGGAUUAGAUACCCUGGUAGUCCACGCCGUAAACGAUGAGUGCUAAGUGUUAGGGGGUUUCCGCCCCUUAGUGCUGCAGCUAACGCAUUAAGCACUCCGCCUGGGGAGUACGGUCGCAAGACUGAAACUCAAAUGAAUUGACGGGG